CCAAAGAAGGACAGAACUUUUUUUAUGUAUGCUACAACAGCAGCAAGAAUACUCAUUGCAAAGUAUUGGAAGACACAAGAUCUACCCACUCUGGAAGAAUGGCAGAUGAAGGUGAUUGACUACAUGGAAUUGGCGGAAAUGACUGGCAGAAUCCGAGACCAGAGAGAAGAGUCGGUGAAAGAAGACUGGAAGAAAUUUAAAGACUAUUUACAGAAAUAUUGUAAAAUUAAGGAAUCUUAGAAGGAUGUUGGAUAGAAACUAAGUGGUUUCCAGCUGUAAUGCUUUAAGAGAUACGAAAAAAAAAAGGCUUAUAAAUGGGUAAAAGCUUAAUGGUAAGGAUUUGCUGAACUAACAAAUUGAACUGGAAUACAAAAAAGGGAGGUACGAGGAGGUCCGGGGAAAUAAGUGUAAGGAAGAUAGGCUAUGGAAAAUUAACGUGUUUUUAACUGUUUUAUUUUGUAUGUUUCUUUUUAUUUUUUACUUUUUUGUUAUAUCUUAAAAACUUUAUUCUUUUUUCUGUAUUCUGUAUUUUCCUGUAUUUUUUGAAACUUUAAUAAAUAUCAUUUUUUU
rnacentral:lncRNA from 1 species